UACGGAGGGAGCUAGCGUUGUUCGGAAUUACUGGGCGUAAAGCGCACGUAGGCGGCUUUGUAAGUUAGAGGUGAAAGCCCGGGGCUCAACCCCGGAAUUGCCUUUAAGACUGCAUCGCUUGAAUCCAGGAGAGGUGAGUGGAAUUCCGGAGUGUAGAGGUGAAAUUCGUAGAUAUUCGGAAGAACACCAGUGGCGAAGGCGGCUCACUGGACUGGUAUUGACGCUGAGGUGGCGAAAGCGUGGGGAGCA
rnacentral:rRNA from 1 species